rnacentral:rRNA from 1 species
AUUGAACGCUGGCGGCAGGCUUAAUACAUGCAAGUCGAACGAGUGGCGCACGGGUGAUUAAUGCUUCUGACUCUACCUUUUGGAGGGGGAUAACUACGUGAAACUCUAGCUAAUCCCGCGUACCAUAGGAUGAGCCCAAGUGGUAUUAGGUAGUUGGGGAGGUAAAGGCUCACCAAGCCGACGAUCUCUAGCUGGUCUGAGAGGAUGACCAGCAAGAGUGUGACUGAGAUACGGAGCAGAAUCCGACGGGAGGCAGCAGUAGGGAAGAUUGCGAAAUGGGGGGUACGUGUAGCAGGAAUGAGGCGUAAAAGAAGAAGGCCAGCGGGGGGUAAAGUUCUUUCGGUAGCGAGGCGUUAACUACAGAAGAAGAACCGGCUAACUCCGUGCAAGCAGCCGCGGUAAUAA